ACGAUACUUUCCGCUUGCUGGGAAGGAAAGUGGCGCACGGGUGCGUAACGCGUAUGCAACCUACCUUAAUCAGGGGGAUAGCCCGAAGAAAUUCGGAUUAACACCGCAUAAAAACACAGGAUAGCAUUAUCCAAUGUUCAAAUAUUUAUAGGAUUAAGAUGGGCAUGCGUGUCAUUAGCUAGUUGGCGGGGUAACGGCCCACCAAGGCGACGAUGACUAGGGGAUCUGAGAGGAUGACCCCCCACACUGGUACUGAGACACGGACCAGACUCCUACGGGAGGCAGCAGUAAGGAAUAUUGGUCAAUGGAGGCAACUCUGAACCAGCCAUGCCGCGUGCAGGAAGACAGCCCUCUGGGUCGUAAACUGCUUUUAUUCGGGAAUAAACCUACUUACGUGUAAGUAGCUGAAUGUACCGAAGGAAUAAGGAUCGGCUAACUCCGUGCCAGCAGCCGCGGUAAUACGGAGGAUCCAAGCGUUAUCCGGAUUUAUUGGGUUUAAAGGGUGCGUAGGCGGCUUAUUAAGUCAGGGGUGAAAGACGGUGGCUCAACCAUCGCAGUGCCCUUGAUACUGAUGAGCUUGAAUACACUAGAGGUAGGCGGAAUGUGACAAGUAGCGGUGAAAUGCAUAGAUAUGUCACAGAACACCGAUUGCGAAGGCAGCUUACUAUGGUGUGAUUGACGCUGAGGCACGAAAGCGUGGGGAUCAAACAGGAUUAGAUACCCUGGUAUCCACGCCCUAAACGAUGAAUACUCGCUGUUAGCGAUACACAGUUAGCGGCUAAGCGAAAGCGUUAAGUAUUCCACCUGGGGAGUACGCCCGCAAGGGUGAAACUCAAAGGAAUUGACGGGGGCCCGCACAAGCGGAGGAGCAUGUGGUUUAAUUCGAUGAUACGCGAGGAACCUUACCCGGGCUUGAAAGUUAGUGAAUCAUUUAGAGAUAGAUGAGUGAGCAAUCACACGAAACUAGGUGCUGCAUGGCUGUCGUCAGCUCGUGCCGUGAGGUGUUGGGUUAAGUCCCGCAACGAGCGCAACCCCUAUGUUUAGUUGCCAGCACGUUAAGGUGGGGACUCUAAACAGACUGCCUGUGCAAACAGAGAGGAAGGAGGGGACGACGUCAAGUCAUCAUGGCCCUUACGUCCGGGGCUACACACGUGCUACAAUGGAUGGUACAGAGGGCAGCAAGCUGGCAACAGCAAGCAAAUCUCAAAAAGCCAUUCACAGUUCGGAUUGGGGUCUGCAACUCGACCCCAUGAAGUUGGAUUCGCUAGUAAUCGCGUAUCAGCAAUGACGCGGUGAAUACGUUCCCGGGCCUUGUACACACCGCCCGUCAAGCCAUGGAAGUUGGGGGUACCUAAAGU
rnacentral:rRNA from 2 species